rnacentral:rRNA from 1 species
GACGAACGCUGGCGGCGUGCCUAAUACAUGCAAGUCGAACGAGAGCAACCGGUGCUUGCACUGGUCAAUCUAGUGGCGAACGGGUGAGUAACACGUGGGUAACCUGCCCAUCAGAGGGGGAUAACAUCCGGAAACGGAUGCUAAAACCGCAUAGGUCUUCGAACCGCAUGGUUUGAAGAGGAAAAGAGGCGCAAGCUUCUGCUGAUGGAUGGACCCGCGGUGCAUUAGCUAGUUGGUGAGGUAACGGCUCACCAAGGCCGUGAUGCAUAGCCGACCUGAGAGAGUGAUCGGCCACAUUGGGACUGAGACACGGCCCAAACUCCUACGGGAGGCAGCAGUAGGGAAUCUUCCGCAAUGGACGCAAGUCUGACGGAGCAACGCCGCGUGAGUGAAGAAGGUUUUCGGAUCGUAAAACUCUGUUGUUAGAGAAGAACAAGUGCUAGAGUAACUGUUAGCGCCUUGACGGUAUCUAACCAGAAAGCCACGGCUAACUACGUG